rnacentral:rRNA from 1 species
CUGGUUCCUAAAAGGUUACCCCACCGACUUUGGGUGUUACAAACUCUCAUGGUGUGACGGGCGGUGUGUACAAGGCCCGGGAACGUAUUCACCGCGGCAUGCUGAUCCGCGAUUACUAGCGAUUCCGACUUCAUGUAGGCGAGUUGCAGCCUACAAUCCGAACUGAGAAUGGCUUUAAGAGAUUAGCUUACUCUCGCGAGUUCGCAACUCGUUGUACCAUCCAUUGUAGCACGUGUGUAGCCCAGGUCAUAAGGGGCAUGAUGAUUUGACGUCAUCCCCACCUUUCCUCCGGUUUGUCACCGGCAGUCUCACCAGAGUGCCCAACUUAAUGCUGGCAACUGAUAAUAAGGGUUGCGCUCGUUGCGGGACUUAACCCCAACAUCUCACGACACGAGCUGACGACAACCAUGCACCCACCUGUAUCCAUGUCCCCGAAGGGAACGUCUAAUCUCUUAGAUUUGCAUAGUAUGUCAAGACCUGGUAAGGUUCUUCGCGUAGCUUCGAAUUAAACCACAUGCUCCACCGCUUGUGCGGGCCCCCGUCAAUUCCUUUGAGUUUCAGCCUUGCGGCCGUACUCCCCAGGCGGAAUGCUUAAUGCGUUAGCUGCAGCACUGAAGGGCGGAAACCCUCCAACACUUAGCAUUCAUCGUUUACGGUAUGGACUACCAGGGUAUCUAAUCCUGUUUGCUACCCAUACUUUCGAGCCUCAGCGUCAGUUACAGACCAGACAGCCGCCUUCGCCACUGGUGUUCUUCCAUAUAUCUACGCAUUUCACCGCUACACAUGGAGUUCCACUGUCCUCUUCUGCACUCAAGUUUCCCAGUUUCCGAUGCACUUCUUCGGUUGAGCCGAAGGCUUUCACAUCAGACUUAAAAAACCGCCUGCGCUCGCUUUACGCCCAAUAAAUCCGGACAACGCUUGCCACCUACGUAUUACCGCGGCUGCUGGCACGUAGUUAGCCGUGGCUUUCUGGUUAAAUACCGUCAAUACCUGAACAGUUACUCUCAGAUAUGUUCUUCUUUAACAACAGAGUUUUACGAGCCGAAACCCUUCUUCACUCACGCGGCGUUGCUCCAUCAGACUUUCGUCCAUUGUGGAAGAUUCCCUACUGCUGCCUCCCGUAGGAGUUUGGGCCGUGUCUCAGUCCCAAUGUGGCCGAUUACCCUCUCAGGUCGGCUACGUAUCAUUGCCAUGGUGAGCCGUUACCCCACCAUCUAGCUAAUACGCCGCGGGACCAUCCAAAAGUGAUAGCCGAAGCCAUCUUUCAAACUCGGACCAUGCGGUCCAAGUUGUUAUGCGGUAUUAGCAUCUGUUUCCAGGUGUUAUCCCCCGCUUCUGGGCAGGUUUCCCACGUGUUACUCACCAGUUCGCCACUCACUCAAAUGUAAAUCAUGAUGCAAGCACC